CACCAAUGGCGAAGGCAGCCCCCUGGGAUAACACUGACGCUCAUGUACGAAAGCGUGGGUAGCAAACAGGAUUAGAUACCCUGGUAGUCCACGCCCUAAACGAUGUCAACUGGUUGUUGGGGGAGUGAAAUCCCUUAGUAACGAAGCUAACGCGUGAAGUUGACCGCCUGGGGAGUACGGUCGCAAGAUUAAAACUCAAAGGAAUUGACGGGGACCCGCACAAGCGGUGGAUGAUGUGGAUUAAUUCGAUGCAACGCGAAAAACCUUACCUACCCUUGACAUGUCCAGAACCCUGCAGAGAUGCGGGGGUGCCCGAAAGGGAAUUGGAACACAGGUGCUGCAUGGCUGUCGUCAGCUCGUGUCGUGAGAUGUUGGGUUAAGUCCCGCAACGAGCGCAACCCUUAUCAUUAGUUGCUACGCAAGGGCACUCUAAUGAGACUGCCGGUGACAAACCGGAGGAAGGUGGGGAUGACGUCAAGUCCUCAUGGCCCUUAUGGGUAGGGCUUCACACGUCAUACAAUGGUCGGUACAGAGGGUUGCCAAGCCGCGAGGUGGAGCCAAUCCCAGAAAGCCGAUCGUAGUCCGGAUUGUUCUCUGCAACUCGAGAGCAUGAAGUCGGAAUCGCUAGUAAUCGCGGAUCAGCAUGUCGCGGUGAAUACGUUCCCGGGUCUUGUACACACCGCCCGUCACACCACGGGAGUCGAUUGGUCCCGAAGUACGUGAGCUAACCCUUUUGGGAGGCAGCGUCCUAAGGAAUGGUCGGUGACUGGGGUGG
rnacentral:rRNA from 1 species